GGGAGUUUCCAUGGCUGGAUCACGCUGGCUGCCUGUGUGCACCUCUCACAUUCGCUUGGGCAGCAGCAGCGGCAGCAGCAGUAGCGGAGCAGGCGGGGGGAGCGGCGGUGAGUGUGAGUGAGUGUGCAAAUUGUGCAACAUGCAGAUGGCAUCCGUGCCCCCUACCCUCUCCGUAGGAAAGAAGUCGGGCAUUUCCCGGAGGGUACCCAUGGACAGGGUGCUGCUGCAGUUGCUGGGAUUGUGCUAGAAGGGAAAGCUUGGCGCUUUGGAUCCAUCGCUUGGCUGCAACUGAGCGUUUUUUGUUCAGCCGGAGGGGGGAUCGGAUUGGGGCGCAGGGGAGGAAGGACACACCGCUCUUUGCUUGUGGAUAUCUGUGAUUGCCUUGGCCUUCCUUUGCCCAUCAUCAUCAUCAUCAUGGGGAAUGCUGGCAGUAUGGAUUCCAACCAGACUGAUUUCAGGGGGCACAACCUGCCUCUCAAACUGCCCAUGCCUGAGCCAGGUGAACUGGAGGAGAGAUUCGCCAUCGUCUUGAAUGCAAUGAACCUGCCCCCUGACAAAGCCAGGUUACUCCGCCAGUACGACAAUGAGAAGAAGUGGGAACUCAUCUGUGACCAGGAAAGAUUUCAAGUGAAAAAUCCCCCCCACACAUAUAUUCAGAAGCUUAAAGGUUAUCUUGAUCCGGCAGUACCAAGAAAGAAAUUUAGGAGACGGGUACAAGAAUCCACACAAGUUUUACGAGAACUGGAAAUCUCUCUAAGAACAAACCACAUAGGGUGGGUGAGAGAAUUCCUGAAUGAAGAAAACAAAGGCCUGGAUGUCUUAGUAGAAUAUCUUUCAUUUGCCCAGUAUGCUGUCACAUUUGACUUUGAAUGUUUGGAGAACAAUGUGGAAAACAGCGUUGAUAAAUCCAAGCCUUGGAGCCGAUCCAUCGAGGAUUUACACAGGGGAAGCAACUUACCGUCCCCCGUAGGCAAUAGUAUCACCCGCUCCGGCCGGCAUUCUACAUUAAGGUAUAAUACUCUGCCAAGCAGGCGGACGCUUAAAAACUCAAGAUUAGUGAGUAAAAAAGAUGACGUUCACGUUUGCAUCAUGUGUUUGCGGGCCAUCAUGAACUACCAGUACGGAUUCAACAUGGUCAUGUCUCACCUGCAUGCCGUCAAUGAAAUUGCACUAAGUUUAAAUAAUAAGAAUCCCAGAACAAAAGCACUUGUACUAGAACUGUUAGCAGCAGUUUGCCUUGUCCGCGGAGGACACGAAAUCAUCUUAUCAGCAUUUGAUAACUUCAAGGAGGUCUGUGGGGAGAAGCAGCGCUUUGAGAAGCUGAUGGAACAUUUCCGAAAUGAAGACAAUAAUAUAGAUUUUAUGGUGGCGUGCAUGCAGUUCAUUAACAUCGUCGUCCAUUCCGUAGAAGACAUGAAUUUCCGCGUUCACCUUCAGUUUGAAUUCACCAAAUUAGCUCUGGAUGAGUAUUUGGAUAAAUUAAAGCACACAGAAAGUGACAAGUUACAGGUUCAGAUCCAGGCAUAUCUGGAUAACGUGUUCGAUGUGGGAGCUCUUUUGGAAGAUGCUGAAACAAAGAAUGCAGCAUUGGAAAGAGUUGAAGAACUGGAAGAAAAUAUUUCUCAUUUAUCAGAGAAGCUGCAAGACACUGAGAACGAAGCGAUGGCGAAAAUUGUAGAACUGGAAAAACAGCUCAUGCAGAGGAACAAAGAGCUGGAUAUUGCAAGGGAGGUUUGCAAAGAUGCCAACACCCAAGUACAUACGUUACGGAAAAUGGUGAAGGAAAAAGAAGAAGCGAUUCAGCGGCAAUCAACGCUUGAGAGGAAAAUCCAUGAGCUGGAAAAGCAAGGGUCUAUCAAGAUUCAAAAGAAAGGAGAUGGAGAUAUUUCCAUUACGCCAAUGGUUGCUUCAGGGUCUGUGCCGUCAGGCUCAGAGGGAACCCCCGGAGGAGCACCUGGAGCUUCUAUUUCUGGCCCUUCCAUUCCAUGUGGAACUACUAGCGUACCUGGUGUUGCUGGAGCUCUGUCUUCAACAACAUUGGUCCCGCCCUCUUCUCCUUUAUUGGGGUCAAGUUCAGUGGAAAAUGGUCCAGUUUCAGCUCCCUCACCACCACCACCUCCACCUCCUCCUCCACCCCCUCCUCCUCCUCCACCACCACCACCUCUUCCAUCAGCAGAACCUCCUGUUCCUCCACCACCACCUCCACCACCAGGAGCUCCUCCCCUACCAGGAUCGGCCUCUCCCACUGUCAUCUUCAACUCAGGACUAGCAGAUGGACCCAUCAAGCUAUUCUCUGUGAAAAUUAAGAAGCCAAUCAAGACGAAGUUCCGGAUGCCCGUGUUUAAUUGGGUCGCCCUUAAACCCCAUCAGAUCAACGGCACCGUGUUCAAUGAGAUCGAUGAUGAAAGGAUACUGGAGGAUAUAAAUGUUGACGAAUUUGAAGAAAUAUUCAAGACAAAAGCCCAGGGGCCGGCUAUCGACAUCUCUUCUACUAAGCAAAAGGCGGCACCCAAGGUAACGAGCAAAGUGACGCUACUGGAGGCAAACAGGGCCAAGAACCUCGCCAUCACCUUACGGAAAGCAGGGAAGACCGCAGAGGAAAUAUGCAAGGCUAUCCAAUUGUUUGACCUGAAGACACUGCCAGUGGACUUUGUUGAAUGCUUGAUGAGGUUCAUGCCGACAGAGGGAGAGGUGAAAGUGUUCCGGCAGUACGAGCGAGAGAAGAAGCCAUUGGAGAACUUGUCCGACGAAGACCGAUUUAUGAUGCAGUUCAGUAAGAUCGAGCGGCUAAUGCAGAAGAUGACCAUCAUGGCUUUCAUUGGGAAUUUUUCCGAGAGCAUUCAGAUGCUCACACCGCAACUUCAUGCCAUAAUUGCCGCAUCAGUUUCCAUUAAGUCAUCCCAAAAGCUCAAGAAAAUAUUGGAGAUCAUUCUAGCCCUCGGGAACUAUAUGAACAGCAGUAAAAGAGGAGCAGUUUAUGGCUUUAAGCUUCAGAGCUUGGACCUGCUUUUAGAUACGAAGUCGACAGACAGAAAACAGACAUUGUUGCACUAUAUCUCCAACGUGGUACGCGACAAGUAUCUACAAGUUGCUCUCUUCUAUAAUGAAAUCCAUUAUGUGGAGAAAGCGGCAGCAGUUUCUCUCGAAAAUGUUCUUUUGGAUGUGAAAGAACUUCAACGAGGGAUGGAUCUAACGAAAAGAGAGUAUACAAUGCAUGACCAUAAUGUUAUGCUGAAAGAAUUCAUCCAGAAUAGUGAAGUGAGGCUGAAAAAACUGCAAGAUGAUGCAAAAAUUUCCCAGGAUGCCUUUGAUGACGUUGUGAAGUAUUUUGGAGAAAAUCCCAAAACGACUCCCCCGUCUGUGUUCUUUCCAGUCUUCGUCAGAUUUGUGAAGGCCUACAAGAAUGCUGAUGAGGAGAACGAGAUGAGGAAGAAACAAGAGCAAGCGCUUAUGGAGAAGCUUCUGGAACAGGAAGCCAUGAUGGAACAACAGGACCAAAAGUCUCCGUCACAUAAAUCGAAGAGGCAGCAGCAAGAGUUAAUUGCGGAGCUGAGGCGGCGGCAGGUGAAAGAUAACAGACAUGUCUAUGAGGGGAAGGACGGUGCUAUAGAAGAUAUCAUCACAGUGCUGAAGACUGUGCCCUUUACUGCUCGAACAGCCAAGCGCGGCUCCCGGUUUUUCUGCGACCCCGUUCUCACUGAGGAAUUCCAUUACUAAACAAAAUUACUCUGUUUCACACCUGAUGCUCUUAAAAGCCCUAAAGAAGAAUAAUAUCACUAAAUUUCCAAAUGUUCACUCGAGGGUAAGGAAUUCUUCUAGCACACCGGUGGUGGAGGAUACACAAAGCUGAUCUUAGAAACCAGCCGUACAUAAGAGCUGACGCCAUGCGGAGAAGUGUGCGAAAGCGUUUCGAUGACCAGAACAUGCGCUCUGCGAAUGGUGCCGAGAUAACCAUUUAAGCUGGAGUCCUGGCCGCAGUAGCCUAGGGGUUCUUGGACACCCAUUACUUCCCAAUGAGCCAUAUCUGUUACCAACCGAGGCUCUGUAUGGAACCCAUUUUGCCUUUGCACCCCCCCAAAAAAGCUCAAAGACGUAGAAACUGCAAAUAGGAUCUCCGCUCAGCGAAAACCUUUCCCUCUGUAGCUAACAAGUGCCUAACAGAUAUACCUGCUCAAAUGGAACAAAGCAAUAGGACUUUUAUUUGACCGGGUAUCUUUUUACACCAAUACGUUACUCAGUAUUUUUAACCAAAAUGUAAAUUGACUCUUUUUGUUUUUGGUUAGGUGGUUCUUAAAGACGUAAAUGUUUGUAAAUAGCUAAUACUGGAGUAUGAUCUGCUGUGGAAUUUUAGAAGAGGCCUUUAUAAACAAAAACAAGAAAAAAAGUGUGUCGUCUGUAGAGAAAUCACCUAACUCGGGUCUUCAUAACGAUCCACUGCUGGUAUUUCCAAGACCUUAUUCAACGUUCUUGUUGGGUCUAAAGAAACCAGGACUGGAUCCAGUUGACUUGGAGUUAGUUGACGUCUUUGUGUUUGUCAGGAAUUGAUGGUCUUGUUCCUAUGUUGCACUUAAUCCCUUUCUGUGUCAGAGAGGUCUACAACACCAUGUUUUGGUGGCCAACCUGCCCCCAAAGCUGCAUAUGGUCUUCAAUAUAAUAAGGGCUUAAGACACGUGAAGGAAGCGAUUGUCAAUGAUCACCAAUCCAUCUAUGGAAGGGUGGGGUAACAACUUCCUUUCUUAAAUAUUUUUAUGCACAUCCCGACGUAUGGUCAACUGCAUCAUAUUUCAGGAAAAGUCUUGCCUAUCAAGGAAUCUGUGACAUGACCAAUAUGACGGAUUCUAAUAUCAUGAACAAGUAGGACCAAGGGAGUGAGAAGCCAACAAGUCGGCCCGGAGCUCUGGUGGUGGCAUCUCAACAACAGAUGGACCUUAUACAUUCAGCUGGUUUAAUAGAACCAGUUUAGCAGUAGACGAUUAACACCUCAUCAGUGUAACAGUAUUAAGGCUGAUAAAAACCUACAUGUACUAAAGGUCAAAAAUGUUUGUUUUCCUGUUUUUUUUUUGUGAUUUUAAGCUUGGGCUAAAGAAAAAAUAGCCUUGUGGCCUCCAGACUAAGUCGGCAGCUUAUUGACCUAUGCAUGGGGCCUUCUCACCUGAUAUCUGGCCAACGGCAGAAUUCCUUCAGGCAAGGACUGCAUCUGUGUUGAUAAGGUCUCCUCCUGACCUUCUCCCUAAGCCUUUAUUAUGAUCCAAUCCUUAGUCUGGGGCCAAACGAUCACAUUCAAAUUUGGCCCACAGCAUCAGUGGUUAAAUCAGAUCCACUCAUGGGGCGAGCUCACCAAAUGAAUAUUAAAGUAUAUGCACAGCUGUAGGAUUCCCUACAAUUUUUGUAGUAAGGGCAACUAAGAUCAUUUUUUUUCUGGUUCAAGAUCUCCUAGAGGUCUACAAUUUGGGAAAAGAUGGUCAAGAUUAUUAGAAUAUUUUUUUUUUAACUCAAAUUGCAGUAAAUACACAAAUUCGAAAGCUCACAAAUCGGCCACCUAUGAUUCAACCAAAUCUGUCUGAACCUGGAAUAUUUAAUAUUCACCCAAUAUCUCAUAUUAUCUAAACCACUGAUCUCCAACCUGUGGCUCAGGGGCAACAUGUUGCUCCCCAACCCCUUGGAUGUUGCUCUCAGUGCCCCCAAACCAGGGAGUUAUUU